UGCCCAGCAACUCCUAUCUCUACCUCCUUGUGGUGCCGGCCGGAAACUAUGAGCAACCUUAGGGAAGA
rfam:Aedes albopictus isolate Foshan contig56907, whole genome shotgun sequence.